rnacentral:rRNA from 1 species
GUGAGUAAUGCAUAGGAAUCUGCCCGAUAGUGGGGGAUAACCUGGGGAAACCCAGGCUAAUACCGCAUACGUCCUACGGGAGAAAGGGGGCUUCGGCUCCCGCUAUCGGAUGAGCCUAUGUCGGAUUAGCUAGUUGGUGAGGUAAAGGCUCACCAAGGCAACGAUCCGUAGCUGGUCUGAGAGGAUGAUCAGCCACAUCGGGACUGAGACACGGCCCGAACUCCUACGGGAGGCAGCAGUGGGGAAUAUUGGACAAUGGGGGCAACCCUGAUCCAGCCAUGCCGCGUGUGUGAAGAAGGCCCUCGGGUUGUAAAGCACUUUCAGCGAGGAAGAACGCCUAGCGGUUAAUACCCGCUAGGAAAGACAUCACUCGCAGAAGAAGCACCGGCUAACUCCGUGCCAGCAGCCGCGGUAAUACGGAGGGUGCAAGCGUUAAUCGGAAUUACUGGGCGUAAAGCGCGCGUAGGUGGCUUGAUAAGCCGGUUGUGAAAGCCCCGGGCUCAACCUGGGAACGGCAUCCGGAACUGUCAAGCUAGAGUGCAGGAGAGGAAGGUAGAAUUCCCGGUGUAGCGGUGAAAUGCGUAGAGAUCGGGAGGAAUACCAGUGGCGAAGCGGCCUUCUGGACUGACACUGACACUGAGGUGCG